rnacentral:rRNA from 1 species
AGAACGAACGCUUGCGGCGCGCCUAAUACAUGCAAGUCGAACGAUGUAGCAAUACAGAGUGGCGCACGGGUGAGUAACACGUGGAUAAUCUGCCCUCUACUGGGGAAUAACUAACCGAAAGGUUAGCUAACACCGCAUGAGACCACAGUGCCUGCGGGCACAGAGGUUAAAAAUUUAUUGGUAGAGGAUGAGUCUGCGCGGGAUUAGCUAGUUGGUGGGGUAAUGGCCUACCAAGGCAACGAUCCCUAGCUGGUCUGAGAGGAUGACCAGUCACACUGGGAACUGAGACACGGUCCAGACUCCUACGGGAGGCAGCAGUAGGGAAUAUUGCGCAAUGGACGAAAGUCUGACGCAGCGACGCCGCGUGAGUGAUGAAGGCCUUAGGUACGUAAGCUCUGUUGAAGUGGAAAGAAUAAGUACGACGUACCAUUCGGAAGGAAGGACCGGUCUAACGUUCGUGACCAGCAGCCGACGGUAAUCGUGACGCGG